GGCCAAGGCAAAACGAAUGCAAACCUGACUGUGUGUUGGAGACUAUUCCAGUGUAUACGUACCCACAUAAAACCGAAACGGUUGAUGGGUCCAUGCAGAGCCGGUCUUAGUUUGUUGUGUGUGAGAUCGUCGUCUUCUAUCACUGAGACGACACGGGAAUGAACAGGACACCUUUCUGGCCUGAGUUCCAUUCGGAGGUUGCUCGACAAGCAGCGCAAAGAAUUUUGAAUCAUUUCUUCUUCUUCCACGUAUUCCCCAAUACACACGAGAGAUGAAGAUAUGCGUUGUACAUUUGACCCUAUUCCUAAUCGCACUUCAAUUCGUGGGAGCAGCUCAGGCUGACCACAAACAGCAUGCUUCACCCCCGCUAGUUCACUCUCAGGAGGCCUCCGAGGCCCCGUCGAGCGUGCUAGAAGUACCGAAAGACGCGGAGACGACAGCGGAAGAGCCAGAUUCUCUUGCACUUCGCGGUGCGGCGAGCUCGCGAAACGAACGCCGUAAAAGGGGA
rnacentral:lncRNA from 1 species